rnacentral:rRNA from 1 species
CAGCAGUCGCCGCGGUAAAACGUAGGUGGCAAGCGUUGUCCGGAAUUAUUGGGCGUAAAGGGCUCGCAGGCGGUUUCUUAAGUCUGAUGUGAAAGCCCCCGGCUCAACCGGGGAGGGUCAUUGGAAACUGGGAAACUUGAGUGCAGAAGAGGAGAGUGGAAUUCCACGUGUAGCGGUGAAAUGCGUGGAGAUGUGGAGGAACACCAGUGGCGAAGGCGACUCUCUGGUCUGUAACUGACGCUGAGGAGCGAAAGCGUGGGGAGCGAGCAGGAUUAGAUACCCCAGUAGUCCCUGUCUCUUAUAC